AAUGUACUGUAUUCAAAUUAAGACAUUUUCUGUAUUGUUUUUUUGUUGUUGUUGUUGUUGUUUUACAGGUGUUUUACCUGUAUUUUGAAUUUUGCACUUCAUUGCAUUGUGGUGUAGAGUUAAGUUCAUUGCACACUGAGUACGAAAUUUCCGCACGUUAAAAAAUAAAUACGACCUCACGUUGUGUCAAUCAUGUUUACAAACUGCCUCUGAAACUUUUGUCCUUCAUAAAAAAAUUCGGAUCAGUUUGUAGCAUGCAUUUGAUAUAAGGAUGAGGAAUACGAAAAUACUGAAAAACGCACACAAAAAUUUCAGACUCAGUGUGCAAUGACCUUCAAGGCUGUGUUUCCAAAUACCUUCAAUGAAAAGUAGCCAAAGCUUGUUUGAAAAGUCAUUGAAUGUUGCUAGAUAGAAUGUCGCCAAUAGUUGUGCCUUGGUCAUCCCAAGUUUGAGUCCCAGCUCAUGAACCUUUCCUGGUCCUCCCCUCUCUCUCCUACUUUGCUUCCUGUGUAACUACUGUCCUAUUAUACUAAAGGUAAAAUUGCUAAAAAAAAACAAAAAACGUUUUGUUGUUAAACAACAUGAUCCAUUAAGACUAUAUGCAGUCAAUCUGCUAGAAACAAAAGAAUGUCUGCCUUAUUUUUUUUGUUUGAUUGUAGAGUUGCAAAAUUCUGGGAAUUUUCAAGACUGGAAACUUUCCAUGGGAAUUAACGGGAAUAUAUGGGAAUAAACUGGAAAUUUAAAACAACCAGAUUUAAUGCAAUUUCAGUUUAAUUUCUACCCUACACUUUGCUUAAUCACAUGCACACAGCACACUGCUUACUGCAGGGCUAUUGAGGCCACACCCCCUACAUGCACUGUGCUUUCCUUCAUAACAUGAACAGAUCAUUUCUUAAAUCCAGCACACAAAAUAUCAAAAUGUCUAUCUUGGUAAGUAUUCAUGUAAAUUACAUGAAUAUUAAAAAAAAAAAAUGUUUUAAAACUUCCUUGUGCUAUGUGUAAUAUACUGUGCACUGUUAAACAUUUCUGUAAUUUCCACAGUUAUUUACUGUAUAUCACCCAGUGUAAUACUGCAAAUUCCCUUUACAGUAAAUAACUGUAAUACCCAUGGGAAUUUUCUGUGACGUCAGACACCACAUACAGAGACUUACUGUAUUUUUUUAAAUUGCUGUAUACUACUAUAACGGUCAUUUGGAUUGACACAAUUUGCCCUGCACCGUGUAACGCCGCAACAGCUUGGGACUGACUACACUGAAUGUGUUACAUCGCUUGUAAUGAAUGGAAAAUCCGUUUGUACUUCAUGUUAGAAACAGCGCGAGCGCUUGGAGUACAUCUGUACAUCAGAAAUAUACCGGGCAUCACAUUACUGUCCGCAUCCACUGUAGAUAGUAUAUAUAAUGUGUUCUAUAUUGUUUUUUAUUGAGUCGCGCCUCGCAGCGCCACCCGCGUCCGAGGAAGACACGGAAGCAGCGGGGCAGCGCCGCAGGUUUUCCGGAGAUGAACCUGCGAGAGUGGGAGAGCUCCGGAGAACAUCUGCGCUGUGUGUCGAUGCACCUUACGAGAGAAUAAGACCAGCAAGCAUGGCAACUGCAAUGAAGCAUCAAUAAAGACAUGAGCAGGCCAGCCACCCUGAGACUGAUAAUUCAUGAGAAGACAUUUCUGUCAAAGUGGAUGGUGAGCAAAGAUGGUGGCCACGUUUUGGAGCAGCACCUAGGUUUUCUUUGGCUGCUUGUCUUUUUUCCCCCAUUAUGUUUCUGUUGCCUAAAGAUUCUUUGUGAGGAUAAAUCCAGAGGACACAACAUAAUGCACUGCAAAACAUCCUAAGACAGGAGAAAUGGUGAAGAUGCACUGUUCCAGCAUUGGAAGACUGUAUUUUUAA